rnacentral:rRNA from 1 species
AGCCCAAUAGCUAGCCCCAAACCUAAACACAACAACCAAUCAUAAAUACCCCCGAACACCCCAAUUUCAAAAAAUAAACCAUUCUUCCCCCUAAGUAUUGGAGAAAGAAAAGGAACCAUGGAGCCAUAAAAAAGUACCGCAAGGGAAAGCUGAAAUAGAAAUGAAAAAACCCAGUACCACCAAGCCCAAAAAAGCAAAGACUAACCCUUGUACCUUUUGCAUCAUGAUUUAGCUAGAACAAUUGAGCAAAAAGAAUUUUAGUUCAAACUCCCGAAACUAAGCGAGCUACUCCAGGACAGCCAACCAUGGGCAAACCCGUCUCUGUGGCAAAAGAGUGGGAAGAGCCUAGAGUAGAGGUGAAAAGCCUACCGAGCCUAGUUAUAGCUGGUUGCCCAAAAAAUGGAUAUAAGUUCAGCCUCCCAACUUCUCUACCCAAAAUUCACUCAAGAACAAAAGAAGUGAGGAGAGUUAGUCAAAAGAGGUCCAGCUCUUUUGACAAAGGACACAACCUUAACAGCAGGAAAAAGAUCACACCAAACAAAGGAACCCCUCACCCAAAGUGGGCCUAAAAGCAGCCACCUUAAAAGAAAGCGUUACAGCUCAAUAAAAACCCUAAAAUAAGGACAAAACCAUCUUUAUCCCCUAAUAAUAGUGGGCCUCCCCAUUCACAUGGAAGAGAUUAUGCUAAUAUGAGUAAUAAGAGAAUACAAGAACCUCUCCAAGCGCAAGUGUGAAUCGAAACGAACUCUCACCGACUAUUAACGUCCCCAAAAAAAGAGGGCAAUGAACAAAACAAAAUCAACCCUAGAAAAAAAUUCAACACCACACAACCGUCAACCCCACACAGGAGCGCCAAAAUGGAAAGACUAAAAAAAAGGGAAGGAACUCGGCAAAUAAAUUAAACCUAUAGCCUCGCCUGUUUACCAAAAACAUCGCCUCUUGCACCAACCAAAGAAUAAGAGGUCCCACCUGCCCAGUGACUAUAAGUUCAACGGCCGCGGUAUUUUGACCGUGCAAAGGUAGCACAAUCACUUGUCCUUUAAAUGGGGACCUGUAUGAAUGGUAUAACGAAGGCUCAACUGUCUCCCCUUUAAAGUCAAUGAAAUUGAUCUCCCCGUGCAGAAGCGGGGAUACCCAGAUAAGACGAGAAGACCCUAUGGAGCUUUAGACCCCAGAACAGACCAUGUAAACUAACCCUUAACACAGAAAAAACUAAAUGACCACCUGUUCAAAUGUCUUUGGUUGGGGCGACCGCGUGGUACUACAAAACCCCCGCGUGGAAUAGAAACACAAACUGUUUCUGAGCUUAAGAGCCUCCACUCAAAACCCCAGAACAUCUGACCAAAAAUUGACCCGGCUAUGCCGAACAACGAACCCAGUUACCCUAGGGAUAACAGCGCAAUCCUCUUCCAGAGCCCAUAUCGACAAGAGGGUUUACGACCUCGAUGUUGGAUCAGGGCAUCCUAAUGGUGCAGCCGCUAUUAAGGGUUCGUUUGUUCAACGAUUAAAGCCCUACGUGAUCUGAGUUCAGACCGGAGUAAUCCAGGUCAGUUUCUAUCUAUCAUCACCCUUCUUCCAGUACGAAAGGACCGAAGCAGAAAGGCCCAUAGUAAAACUACGCCUUACCCUCAUUUAAUGAAACCAAAUAAAUUAACAUAAAGGAAGACCCACACCCCUCCAAGAACAGGAGAC